rnacentral:rRNA from 1 species
GACGAACGCUGGCGGCGUGCUUAACACAUGCAAGUCGAACGGUAAGGCUCCAGCUUGCUGGGGUACACGAGUGGCGAACGGGUGAGUAACACGUGGGUGACCUGCCCUGCACUUUGGGGUAAGCCUGGGUAACUGGGUCUAAUAUCGGAUAGGACAGCACCGUGAGGGUGUGGUGGAAAGUUUUUUCGGUGUGGGCUGGGCCAGCGGCCUAUCAGCUUGUUGGUGGGGUAAUGGCCUACCAAGGCGGCGACGGGUAGCCGGCCUGAGAGGGUGGACGGCCACCAUGGGACUGAGACACGGACCAGACUCCUACGGGAGGCAGCAGUGGGGAAUAUUGCACAAUGGGCGGAAGCCUGAUGCAGCGACGCCGCGUGGGGGAUGACGGCCUUCGGGUUGUAAACUGCUGUCGCCAACGACGAAGGGUUUCUGACGGUAGAUGGAGAAGAAGCACCGGCUAACUACGUG